UCCACUUGUCCACAAGCAUGGGGAACAUCUUUGCAAACCUCUUUAAGGGCCUUUUUGGCAAAAAGGAAAUGUGCAUCCUCAUGGUGGGUCUGGAUGCUGCAGGGAAGACGAUUUUGUGCAAGCUGAAGCUCAGUGAGAUCAUGACCACCAUUUCCAUCAUAGGAAAUGUGGAGACUGUUGAAUAUAAGAACAUCAGCUUCACAGUGUGGGAUGUAGGUGGCCAGGACAAGAUUCGGCCACUGUGGCGCCACUACUUCCAAAACACCCAAGGUGUUUUGUGGUGGCCAGCAAUGACAGACAGCAUGUGAAUGAGGCAGGGAAGGAGCUCAUGAGGAUACUGGCUGAGGAUGAGCUGAGGGAUGCAGUCCUCCUAAUGUCUGCCAAUAAGCGGGACCUCCCGAAUGCCAUGAAUGCAGCUGAAAUCACAGACAAGCUGGGGCUGCACUCGCUACGCCACAGGAACUGGUACAUUCAGGCCACCUGUGCCACCAGCGGGGAUGGGCUCUAUGAAGGACUGGACUGGCUGUCCAAUCAGCUCUGGAACCAGAAGUGAAUAAGAACCCCCUCCCACUUCCUCCUCUCCACCCUCUGCUUUCCUCUCAUGUGGCAAA